GACGAACGCUGGCGGCGUGCUUAACACAUGCAAGUCGAACGGUGAAGCGCCCUCCUUUUUGGUGGGUGUGGAUGAGUGGCGAACGGGUGAGUAACACGUGAGUAACCUGCCCCCUUCUUCUGGAUAACCGCAUGAAAGUGUGGCUAAUACGGGAUAUUCUGGGUCUGUCGCAUGUUGGGUCUGGGAAAGAUAUUGUUUCGGUGGGGGAUGGGCUCGCGGCCUAUCAGCUUGUUGGUGGGGUGAUGGCCUACCAAGGCGGUGACGGGUAGCCGGCCUGAGAGGGUGGACGGUCACACUGGGACUGAGACACGGCCCAGACUCCUACGGGAGGCAGCAGUGGGGAAUAUUGCACAAUGGGCGCAAGCCUGAUGCAGCGACGCCGCGUGAGGGAUGGAGGCCUUCGGGUUGUGAACCUCUUUCGCCAGUGAAGCAGGCCUGCCUCGUUUGUGGGUGGGUUGACGGUAGCUGGAUAAGAAGCGCCGGCUAACUACGUG
rnacentral:rRNA from 1 species